rnacentral:rRNA from 1 species
UUAAAUUGAAGAGUUUGAUCAUGGCUCAGAUUGAACGCUGGCGGCAGGCCUAACACAUGCAAGUCGAACGGUAACAGAAAGAAGCUUGCUUCUUUGCUGACGAGUGGCGGACGGGUGAGUAAUGUCUGGGAAACUGCCUGAUGGAGGGGGAUAACUACUGGAAACGGUAGCUAAUACCGCAUAACGUCGCAAGACCAAAGAGGGGGACCUUCGGGCCUCUUGCCAUCGGAUGUGCCCAGAUGGGAUUAGCUAGUAGGUGGGGUAACGGCUCACCUAGGCGACGAUCCCUAGCUGGUCUGAGAGGAUGACCAGCCACACUGGAACUGAGACACGGUCCAGACUCCUACGGGAGGCAGCAGUGGGGAAUAUUGCACAAU